GAACGAACGCUGGCGGCGUGCCUAACACAUGCAAGUCGAACGGAUUUGAGGGGCUUGCUCCUCAAGUUAGUGGCGCACGGGUGAGUAACGCGUAGAUAAUCUGCCUGAUGAUCUGGGAUAACACUUCGAAAGGGGUGCUAAUACCGGAUAAGCCCACGGGGUCUUUGGAUUCUGCGGGAAAAGGGGGGGACCUUCGGGCCUUCUGUCAUCAGAUGAGUCUGCGUACCAUUAGCUAGUUGGUAGGGUGAUGGCCUACCAAGGCUACGAUGGUUAGCUGGUUUGAGAGAAUGAUCAGCCACACUGGAACUGAGACACGGUCCAGACUCCUACGGGAGGCAGCAGUGGGGAAUUUUGCGCAAUGGGCGAAAGCCUGACGCAGCAACGCCGCGUGAGUGAUGAAGGCUUUCGGGUCGUAAAGCUCUGUCGAUGGGAAAGAAGUGUAUUGUGGCUAAUAUCCACGAUACUUGACGGUACCCAUAAAGGAAGCACCGGCUAACUCCGUGCCAGCAGCCGCGGUAAUACGGGGGGUGCAAGCGUUGUUCGGAAUUAUUGGGCGUAAAGAGCGUGUAGGCGGUUUGUUAAGUCUGUUGUGAAAGCCCUGGGCUCAACCCAGGAAGUGCACUGGAUACUGGCAGACUUGAAUACGGGAGAGGGUAGUGGAAUUCCUAGUGUAGGAGUGAAAUCCGUAGAUAUUAGGAGGAACACCGGUGGCGAAGGCGGCUACCUGGACCGAUAUUGACGCUGAGACGCGAAAGCGUGGGUAGCAAACAGGAUUAGAUACCCUGGUAGUCCACGCCGUAAACGAUGAGAACUAGGUGUUGCGGGUAUUGACCCCUGCAGUGCCGCAGCUAACGCAUUAAGUUCUCCGCCUGGGAAGUACGGU
rnacentral:rRNA from 1 species